rnacentral:lncRNA from 1 species
ACUACUUGACCUGUCGUUAAGCUUUAUGCUUCAGAGCUCUGCUGGGAAAUGCUCUCAGCCUUUUAGAGUGAAAUACUGGAGGUCAGACUGGAAAGCUCCUAACUCUUUGAUUUCCGUGGAGAAUAACAAAGCGGAGGCUCAGACUCCGAGGUAAAGGAAUGCAGACCCUCGGGAGAGCGCAGAGCUCUGCGUGGGCUGACGGAGCCUGCCCCCCAGGGCUCUGUGCUUGGUUUGCACCGCAAACCCCCAAACAGCAUGAUGACCAACAUGGAGAGCUGCGUGUUGAGAUUUGCACCCCUUUUCUGCGUUGAGAUUUGGGGUUUGCUUUGCAAGGCAAUGUCAGCUUCUGGCUUUCGAAGAAUGAUGUUCAGCAGAAGCUGCUCCUGGCAGGAAUCUUGAGAGGAGAACGUACUGAAUACCCCCAGCCACUGGAAGGAUGGCAGGAAUUGGCUCAAGGUAAGUGCUGGUGCUCGACAACCGGGACCAAGCAGUUAGGGAUAAGCUAUGCCGUUUCGUAGAGAUGUUGAUUUUACUGAUGCAUCAGCUGUGCCUGGCUGCCGCGCGUGCGUGUGGCGCAAUCACCAGAAGGAAACGUUACGCAGCUCCGUUUCCGAAGGGCUAGCGGAGAGUCACCCGUGGCGUCCCGCGGGGAGAGAGACGCCGAGAGGGGCAGCGAGGUACAAACGUGCCGUUUGGGAGCUCACGGGGAGCUCAGACAGGCCAGUCAUAUUUUAUUUCUGAAGGAUAUACUGCAGCCGCAGGACUUUUCCCAUGCGGAGCAAGGCUUCGGGGGGCUCAUCCCACCAGCGAGCACGUGGCUGAUGCCCUUGGCUCCCCGGGGGUGGUGGCUGGGCAGCCCCACGGCAGGACUGUGUCGUGUCGUCAGGGUAGAGCACAGAGCAGGGACUUUGCUGGGCCAAGCAAGCAGCCAGGCGUCGGUCAGCUCUUCUGCGCCUGUGGUGUCUUCUGACUCGUCUGUCUGCUCCCGACAUGGAGUACGCCUGGUAUUGGCUUGAUGAUUCUGGGCAGUGGAUUGAGUACGGGGAAGAGCAUCCGGAUCACUGCUCUGCCACGGUGAAAUCUGCAGAUCUGGAGAAGAAAUUUUUAGCUAACCAGAAAGGCAUUGUGUUCUUCAGCGCUGGUUCUCAGAAGUAUGAAUUAAGGUUUGGAGGUGAAGCAUCUCCUUGUUUUAAGUUCAUUACACAGUGUGGCUGGCUCUAAGGUAGCCUCCUUCAGGUGAAGUUGUCACCCUGUGUCUGGAUUUCUUUGAACAGGUCUUUUUCCUCCCAUAAGUUUUCUCCAAGCAGAACUUGAUCGAUAUGUGCAUUUGUAUUUCUCUGCAGCUUUGAGAUGCCCCACUUGAGCCUCUAGACUUGUGCAUCUAUAGUCUAAAAAGCAUCUCUGACAAUACUAUAUAUUCAGAGUAAGAGCUGAGAGUAAAUGUUCCGUGGCAUCUGGCUUAUGCAUUUGGGUUUAUACAACUAAAGAGAAGAAAUGAGAAAGGAAAAAACCAGGCACUGAGAAGUCAAAUGGUGAAGAAGUCAGCCCCUGGUAGACAUCUUGCAAGCUAGUUGUGUGGAGAGAAAGCACACAGUGCAGCAAAGGAAAAUUUAGUGCUGGUUGCAUAGAGAGAGAAUGGGAAAAUGAGAAAUGUUUUUCUGUUUCUAAUUUAUUUACCCAACUUAAAAUUCCUCUUAGCUUUCCAAACUUUAAAUCUGUUUCCUGGCAUGAAUAAAGAGAGUGGUGCUUAAAGGGGGAAACA